UCUCAUUUCAUUAUGACCCAAGAAUGCUAUGCAAUUGGCAUGGCAUGGCAUUGUCCAUCCGACAGUUUCAACCCACAUGAGCCCAAACUAGUAUACCUUUGGACCUACAUGUGUGAGACUUAGGGGCUCAUAGCUUUCCCAACCCCAAAGAUACAGACCCACAUAUCGAAGGAUGAAAAGACCAUUAGAUUAAUAGUUUAGUAGUGCUAAAUAAAGAAGGUAAUCAGAGGAAAGAAACGGAGAGGCAAGGAAAAAGCACAAAGAAAGGGCAACGUAGGUCAGAGGUCUCAACCAAAUUCCACAUCAACAUCAUCACUUUCGUAUCUCAAGACUAAAGCGUGAAUACUGUUGUAGACCAGCAAAAAGAUAAAAGGACUCGGGACAAGGAAAUCAAAGCAAACUACCGAGUUAAAAAUAAAUAAAUAGAUAAAUAAAUACUGAUUAAUCCACCACUCGAUGGUGGUUUAGCUCUAAUUAACUAAUAAAAUUUCCUAAGACGACACUCUAUAGUAUCUAUUUUUCAGCUUUUACAUAUUAAAUUUUUGUACAAUUUAGCUGAACCAAUCAAAUAAAAAUGAGGUCGCUCUAUUUCAUAGACAAGACUCCUAAUUAGAGUUUGAGUCUUCCAAAAAGGUGGACGAAAGUUGAUCAUUUUCACAUAAUAAAACAACCAUUAGGAUUUUCAUCACUAAACAUUUGAGGCGCGUUCAGGUAUGUUGGUGGAGGAGGUGGUGGCACAUACUGAGGCUGGUGGCCAUACUCGACUACGUAGCCCGUAUGAGCAUAACCAUGAUUGUACAUUGUCGCGCCAUAGUCUUGAUUCAUAUAACUCUGAUGUUGCAUAGGCAUCGCGUAAAAUGUAUUUGCAUUAUAACCAUAGUAUUCCAUUUUGUUGACCACCUCACUCCCUCCUCCUCCACCACCACCACUAGCCACCUUUGAUUCACCGUCUUUUUUUCUCCGUAUCGCCUUUUUCUUUCUUGUCACCGCCUUUGCCGCCACCGCCGCUCUCUUUCUCCUUCUUGUCAUUGUCACCUUCCUUGGCUUUCUUUUCACCACCUUCAUUGUCUUUCUUAGAUGGAACCACUUCAACAUUUUGCUUCAAUUUAUCAAUCAAAUAAGGAGUUAACUUCUUUAUAUCCAUUGACCCCUUUACCGUGGCCAAAUCUUUUUCUGAUUCUAUAUUCACUUCUUGUACCCCUUUAAUCUUUUUAAUAACUCGUUUGAUUUUAUGUGCACAUCCAUCACAAUGCACCCGAAUCUUUAAUGCCACCACACUGAUUACUUGAGCCUCUUUGGGUUUCUUCUCGUCUUCCUUCUUGUCCUCUGUUUUUUCACCGGACUUUUUAUCUCCGCCGCUCUUUUUAUCUCCGGCGUCCUUUUUGGGCGGCGAUGAUAUAAGCUCCACCUUCUUUUUGGUUUUGAUCUCCACUCUCUCCCGGAGCCAUGAAGGGUCAACGUCACCUUUAACCGUCAGUUUUCCAGUUUCACAAUCCGAUUUCACUUUUUCCACACCAUGAGUAUGGCGAAUGAAUCGUCUGAGUUUUUGUGCACAACCUUCACAAUGCAAAUCCAGUUUUAAAACAAUUGAACUUUCGUUCUUCUUCUCUGCUCCUUCAACUUUGAUUUUUUCACCCAUUGGUUGAGAAUAAUUAAUAUUAGUAUAAAG
rnacentral:misc_RNA from 1 species